rnacentral:rRNA from 1 species
AUUCCAGCUCCAAUAGCGUAUAUUAAAGUUGUUGCAGUUAAAAAGCUCGUAGUUGGACUUGUGCGUGCCCCCGAUGUCCUUUUUGGUACGUUCGGGGGUGUGCAUCCUUGGGUGGAACCUGCGUGGCAUUAGGUUGUCGGGCAGGGGAUGCUCAUCGUUUACUGUGAAAAAAUUAGAGUGUUCAAAGCAGGCUUACGCCGUUGAAUAUAUUAGCAUGGAAUAAUAAGAUAGGACCUUGGUACUAUUUUGUUGGUUUGCGCACCGAGGUAAUGAUUAACAGGGACAGUUGGGGGUAUUCGUAUUCCAUUGUCAGAGGUGAAAUUCUUGGAUUUCUGGAAGACGAACUACUGCGAAAGCAUUUACCAAGGAUGUUUUCAUUG